GCUGCCCUCUUUCAGAAUAAUGGUUCUGUGUACAUAUAUAAUAUAGGUCAUGUAGCCCCAUGUGGUUCUGCUCUUAUUUAUAGCCUGUUUUCCCCUAAUCAGUGGCGGUCCUAGCUUGCAUGACACCCUGGGCGGACCUCAGCCACCUUCAGUGUCCAUAUGAGGAACCGCCUCUGAACAGCAGACUGACAGAAGCUCUCCACCUCCAGGAAACAUGAUACUCAAGUUUAGCUGCAGUUUUCAAGCCAGUAGAAGGAUUUAAAUAGUUCUGCUUCUUGCUCCUGAAGGGGUUUUUAUGUCUCAUAAUCUAACCAUGAGUGGAUGCAUUCAGGGGUCCUGGGGUCCUCUGAGUUUGGGGGGAAUUUUACUGCCUCAUCGAAGAGACUUUUGACUCGUUCAUGUUGCUCCUUCAGCUGCAGCUCCAGGACCUGAAGUCUGUCUGAUGCUGAGUCAAGAAUCUGAGGCCAACAGAUGAAAACUAAACUGUAAGAUAUUUGCCCCAAAGUAGAUAGACUGAAAAAAAGUAAAGCUACAACUGUCUAAAUGUCUCCUCUGGGCUGUAUAUACACGUAUAUAUGUGCAGUUUAUAUUACAGAACAGACUGACAGUAGACAGCAGCUGUUCAGUCCUCUGGCCACCUGUUGUGAGCGUGUCUCUGCUGUGUCUGCAUCAGUACAAUAGAGCUGCUGGGCUCCUCUGUGUCCAUACAUUCAUAUAAGCCUCCAUCUGCGCACAGCUGCGGAGGAGGAGCGUUAACGGCGCGGACACCCGGUCAGCAGGGCGGACAUGGCGGCACACAGCCAGCCUGUUGUGUCGUGUGUCCCUGCUGGAGCGGAGAGGUUGAAGUGGAGACUGAGUCGAUGAGAUGCGGUUUCGAAUCGCAGACGAGCGACAUUUGUCUUUGGCGUCGUCCUGCGCGCAGAUGCUGCCGCCUGCUCGGUGCGUAAAGACGCUGUGAGUUUGUGGGUGAGGCUGCAAAGUUUUCCAGGCGGGGAUCCAAACCGGGGCGGCUGCUUCAGAGGAAUGAAGACUGCUGUGUGCGCAGUUUCAGCGCCUCCGGCCGGAUUAGAGGCCGCCUGAUGUCCUGAGUGUCCCCGCCGCUCAGCUCGUGUCCUCGGGCUGCUGAAGAUGUGACCGGACCUGCUGCAACACUUGACAGUGGAUGAACUGCAGUCGGAGAGACGAGAGCAGAGCGAGCAGGCAAGUGGCUCAGAGAUGCUUCUCAGACGGCAUUAUAUCUGACCUCAGGCCCGAUCAGAACCAGCAGCACCGAGGCCAAGAGAAGAACUGCAUCAUCACAUCCACACAUCCAGCUGGAUCUGGACUGUUCAGAGAUACAGCAUCAAGAUGAUUCAAAUCUGAUUUGUUUCAACGUAUAAACAAAUGUAAAGGUCAAUUCAUCUAAUCUGCUCUGGGUCUUUUUGUCAUUGUGUUGGAUUAUUUAGCCUCUUUACAUGUGAACUCUGUGUGUCAGCAUCACAUUGUUCUCAAACACUGUGAAACAAUUAAAAUAAAAGCUUUAACCAUC